rnacentral:rRNA from 1 species
CGGCGGACGGGUGAGUAAUGCCUAGGAAUCUGCCUGGUAGUGGGGGAUAACGUCCGGAAACGGGCGCUAAUACCGCAUACGUCCUGAGGGAGAAAGUGGGGGAUCUUCGGACCUCACGCUAUCAGAUGAGCCUAGGUCGGAUUAGCUAGUUGGUGGGGUAAAGGCCUACCAAGGCGACGAUCCGUAACUGGUCUGAGAGGAUGAUCAGUCACACUGGAACUGAGACACGGUCCAGACUCCUACGGGAGGCAGCAGUGGGGAAUAUUGGACAAUGGGCGAAAGCCUGAUCCAGCCAUGCCGCGUGUGUGAAGAAGGUCUUCGGAUUGUAAAGCACUUUAAGUUGGGAGGAAGGGCAGUAAGUUAAUACCUUGCUGUUUUGACGUUACCAACAGAAUAAGCACCGGCUAACUUCGUGCCAGCAGCCGCGGUAAUACGAAGGGUGCAAGCGUUAAUCGGAAUUACUGGGCGUAAAGCGCGCGUAGGUGGUUCAGCAAGUUGGAUGUGAAAUCCCCGGGCUCAACCUGGGAACUGCAUCCAAAACUACUGAGCUAGAGUACGGUAGAGGGUGGUGGAAUUUCCUGUGUAGCGGUGAAAUGCGUAGAUAUAGGAAGGAACACCA